CCUACGGGAGGCAGCAGUAGGGAAUCUUCCACAAUGGACGAAAGUCUGAUGGAGCAACGCCGCGUGAGUGAAGAAGGGUUUCGGCUCGUAAAGCUCUGUUGGUAGUGAAGAAAGAUAGAGGUAGUAACUGGCCUUUAUUUGACGGUAAUUACUUAGAAAGUCACGGCUAACUACGUGCCAGCAGCCGCGGUAAUACGUAGGUGGCAAGCGUUGUCCGGAUUUAUUGGGCGUAAAGCGAGUGCAGGCGGUUCAAUAAGUCUGAUGUGAAAGCCUUCGGCUCAACCGGGGAAUUGCAUCAGAAACUGUUGGACUUGAGUGCAGAAGAGGAGAGUGGAAUUCCAUGUGUAGCGGUGGAAUGCGUAGAUAUAUGGAAGAACACCGGUGGCGAAGGCGGCUCUCUGGUCGGCAACUGACGCUGAGGCUCGAAAGCAUGGGUAGCGAACAGGAUUAGAUACCCUUGUAGUC
rnacentral:rRNA from 1 species